AUUGAACGCUGGCGGCGUGCCUAAUACAUGCAAGUAGGACGCAGUUGCGAACGGGUGAGUAACGCGUAGGUAAAUGCCUAUUAGAGGGGGAUAACUAUUGGAAACGAUAGCUAAUACCGCAUACUAGUAGAUGGAACUGCGUUGUAUUAGCUAGUAGGUUGGGUAAUGGCCUACCUAGGCGCAGUUACAUAGCCGAGCUGGGAGGGUGAUCGGCCCCACUGGGACUGGGAAACGGCCCAGACUCCUACGGGGGGCGGCAGUAGGGAAUCUUCGGCAAUGGGGGGAACCCUGACCGAGCAACGCCGCGGGAUUGAAGAAGGUUUUCGGAUCGUAAAGCUCUGUUGUUAAGGAAGCGGUACUUAACCAGAAAGGGACGGCUAACUACGUGCCAGCAGCCGCGGUAAUAC
rnacentral:rRNA from 1 species